rnacentral:misc_RNA from 1 species
GAUGAAGAACGCAGCGAAAUGCGACAAGUAAUGUGAAUUGCAGAAUUCCGUGAAUCAUCGAAUCUUUGAACGCACAUUGCGCCCUCUGGUAUUCUGGAGGGCAUGCCUGUCCGAGCAUCAUUGCUGCCCUCAAGCACGGCUUGUGUGUUGGGCCUCCGUCCUCCUCCCGGGGGACGGGCCCGAAAGGCAGCGGCGGCACCGCGUCCGGUCCUCGAGCGUAUGGGGCUUCGUCACCCGCUCUUGUAGGCCCGGCCGGCGCUUGCCGACACAUCAAUCUUUUUUCCAGGUUGACCUCGGAUCAGGUAGGGAUACCCGCUGAACUUAAGCAUAUCAAUAAGCGGAUGA